UUCAGAUUGUUGAAGAUUAAUAAAGAUUCUGAAACAAAAUGAAAUUUUCACAGUUCAGAUAUUUCCUAUUGUUACACAUUAGUGUAAUUAUGUUUUUCUAUGUACAGGUAUCUGAGGAGCAUGAACAGUCCACUGUAGAACUGGAGUUUAACCCAAUAGAUCCAAGAGACUCCCAGGAACAACCCGCCAAUGAAGAGAAUUUGAUGAUUCUUUCCUCUGGUGACUUUGAUAGGGCAGUGAAGAGAGAAAACCUGAUAUUUAUCAUGUUCUGGAG